CCAUCUAUGAGAGCUACAGAGCAGCUCACUUCCCAGGAGAUGAUCCAGUUUACCAGAGGCUUGGACGCCGAUUACUACUUGGGGGAGGGUGAUUAUGCGACAUUCAUUGAGACACACCUCAUGCCUCCCUUGACCGAUAUUCACGGAGGUGAGGGGAUAAGAGUUCCAGCUAUGAGAGAGAGAGUCGGAGUCCCCAAGGCGACCAGGGCGCGUGGUAGAGGGGCCACCCAGACGAGGCAGAGGACCGGCUAGCCAGAGUUGCCUACUGCACUCACAUGUUGGCGGUAUACUGGGGAGGCAUAUCAGAUCCCGAUUGAGCUUGCUGCAGCGGGACACAGAUACACUAGAGCCCAGGACGCACCUCCGGCUCCUCCUAGAUACAUCGAGGAUCUGCUAGAGCUAUUAGCCUCAUUCGAGGGCAUGAUAUUGAGGAGGGAGGCAUUGCUCGGCUUCCACGACAUUCAGGUUCCACUCUUAUCGACAGCAUCAACGGCACCAGCACCAGGACCAUCAGUACCUCCUCCGACAGCAGGGAGAGAGAGACAGGCUCCAGCACGCAGUCGAGACCGAGCUAGGAGCAAUGCUACUGAGCCAGGUUCUGAGGCACAGAGCAGCAGUGGCUCCGGUUCCGUUCAGCAUCCGGUUCAGACAGCGGCACAGAUGGAGACAACUCUGAGUCCUCGCCCAGGAAGAGGACCAAAAUGGCCUCUCGAGCUUGAGAUAGCUGGCGUUGAUCUAUUUGUAUUUUUGCGUAGUUUCUCUUAUUAGUAGUGUUAGCACUUUGUAUAGCUUCAGACGAGUUUUUUUAUUAUUUUGCUUUAAAAACUUGUACUGCACUUUUUGUAAAAACAACCAUGAUCGGAAUGAAAACCAAG